rnacentral:lncRNA from 1 species
GUGGUAGGUGUCGAUACUAAAAGCACGAUUUGUGUUGUGAUAAAUUUUCUGUGAUAAUUCUAUCAUAGUUUUCGAACCUUAGUUGUAGCGAGAUGGUGAAGGUAGUAGUUGUCGAGUAGUUUACGUGCUUUUAACAUUAUGUGUGUAUUUUUAUGCCUUAUGUGAAUUAGCAUCCUUGAGGUGUUUGAUGUCGGUUACUCGUGAUGGCGGCGUUACUUCGGGGGUGGCGUUAGGUCACGAGAUGUGGGUUACUAGUGAUGGCGGCGUUACCUUCGGGGUGGUGUCAGGUCACGAGAAACAUCACUGAGAUGCUUAGAUGAUUAGCCCUAGUGGCAACGAACCCUUCGGGGUUAAUAUGUGGGUGACGGACUCUUCGGGGUCAAAUUGGGCAAAUGAUGAUAGCCUACGGGCAACAACUGAUGUUUGACGAAUGAUGUUAAAUGAUGCGGGUGACGAAUGAUAUUCUAUUAUGCAUCUGUCGAGUGAUGUUAAAUUGUGUAGUUUAUACGGACAAGGUUAAGUUACAAUUGAGUUUUUAGGCCAUUAAUUGUUAUGUCCUGGAUACAGGUUGGUUUGGUUAAUCGUCCAAAGAAUUAAGAUGCGAUGUGGGUCAUCCUUUGGUGUUUAAGUAACCUGAUCCACAUCGGAAAGGAUUACUUGUAGGAUGAUUGGACCUAGGAUAUGGGUUGAGUUUUGGGUCGUUUUGGGUGACGGGUUUGAGUCGUUAAACUUUAAAUUGAUGUUAACGUAUUUUAAUCGAUGUUGGUGAUUUUACAAUGAUGGUGUUUUGGUUUUCAAAUAAAUCAUUUGAGACGUGUUUCAAGUGCUUUAAAUUAAACUAUUAGCACUCAUUCAGCGUAGCUGACUUUUGCAUGUAUGUUAGAUUGUUUUACAGGUGGGUGAUUCGAGUCGAGGUUGCUCUUGGCUAGCGGAUGAGAUUACUCGUGUUACAGUGGAAGGCAUUUGGUUUGUU